UACAGAGGUCCCAAGCGUUGUUCGGAUUCACUGGGCGUAAAGGGUGCGUAGGCGGUCGGGUAAGUCUGACGUGAAAUCUUCAAGCUUAACUUGGAAACUGCGUCGGAUACUAUUCGGCUAGAGGAAUGGAGGGGAGACUGGAAUACUUGGUGUAGCAGUGAAAUGCGUAGAUAUCAAGUGGAACACCAGUGGCGAAGGCGAGUCUCUGGACAGUUCCUGACGCUGAGGCACGAAAGCCAGGGGAGCAAACGGG
rnacentral:rRNA from 1 species